rnacentral:rRNA from 1 species
GACGAACGCUGGCGGCAGGCCUAACACAUGCAAGUCGAGCGGACCUUUCGGGGUCAGCGGCGGACGGGUGAGUAACGCGUGGGAAUAUGCCCUUCUCUACGGAAUAGUCCUGGGAAACUGGGGGUAAUACCGUAUACGCCCUUUGGGGGAAAGAUUUAUCGGGGAAGGAUUAGCCCGCGUUGGAUUAGGUAGUUGGUGGGGUAAUGGCCUACCAAGCCGACGAUCCAUAGCUGGUUUGAGAGGAUGAUCAGCCACACUGGGACUGAGACACGGCCCAGACUCCUACGGGAGGCAGCAGUGGGGAAUCUUAGACAAUGGGGGCAACCCUGAUCUAGCCAUGCCGCGUGAGUGAUGAAGGCCUUAGGGUUGUAAAGCUAUUUCAGCUGGGAAGAUAAUGACGGUACCAGCAGAAGAAGCCCCGGCUAACUCCGUG